rnacentral:tRNA from 1 species
GGGGCUAUAGCUCAGCUGGUAGAGCGUUUGCCCCGCAUGCAGAAGGCCCUGGGUUCAAUCCCCAGCACCACCG